rnacentral:rRNA from 1 species
UACGGAGGGUGCAAGCGUUAUCCGGAUUCACUGGGUUUAAAGGGUGCGUAGGUGGGCAGGUAAGUCAGUGGUGAAAUCUCCGAGCUUAACUCGGAAACUGCCAUUGAUACUAUCUGUCUUGAAUAUCCUGGAGGUGAGCGGAAUAUGUCAUGUAGCGGUGAAAUGCUUAGAUAUGACAUAGAACACCAAUUGCGAAGGCAGCUCACUACUCAAUCAUUGACUCUGAGGCACGAAAGCGUGGGGAUCAAACAGG